rnacentral:rRNA from 1 species
AUUGAACGCUGGCGGCAGGCUUAACACAUGCAAGUCGAACGAGCGGCGGACGGGUGAGUAAUGUCUGGGAAACUGCCUGAUGGAGGGGGAUAACUACUGGAAACGGUAGCUAAUACCGCAUACCAUCGGAUGUGCCCAGAUGGGAUUAGCUAGUUGGUGGGGUAACGGCUCACCAAGGCGACGAUCCCUAGCUGGUCUGAGAGGAUGACCAGCCACACUGGAACUGAGACACGGUCCAGACUCCUACGGGAGGCAGCAGUGGGGAAUAUUGCACAAUGGGCGCAAGCCUGAUGCAGCCAUGCCGCGUGUGUGAAGAAGGCCUUCGGGUUGUAAAGUACUUUCAGCGAGGAGGCGUUACCCGCAGAAGAAGCACCGGCUAACUCCGUGCCAGCAGCCGCGGUAAUAC